CAACUCACUGCCAGAGUGUUGCCCUUUGUGGUCACCUGAACCUGACUUUGCCUUCAGCAUCGAACCCUGCCUGGAUACCGUCUUCUGGAAAGAAGCUAUCCAACCCCAUGAACCAAGACUCAAGCCUCCUGUUUCCUCAUUGGAUCAAACCAGCUGGCAGUCUCCUGAUUCCUUCGUUCCAUGGAUCUACCUCUGUGAACCCUGUCCACCCUCCUCCUACCAUUGCACCAACUACAGAAACUCUUGGACCAUCAAUCAUCCUGGCACACCAGUGUUCACUGUCUCCGGUCCCACGGGUCAACAACCUCCUCGUCUCUCCACCCCCGUCUGGCAGAUCUCUCCCUCAAAUCAGUAAGGCAGAAAUAUCUUUUGUGAAUAUAGGUCCAGAGUUUCCCCUUGCUUAUAGUUCUGUUUAUUUUAGAGUUGGUGUCCCGAUUCCAGUCUCCUACACAUUUCAACAUACUGUCAAUAAACGUCUUACCGUUAUAA